rnacentral:lncRNA from 1 species
CACUACGCUGCUUUCUCACCACCUGAACAAGAUGAAGCAAAGCGGCCAGCUCGUUAUGGUAAAAAACAACUACAUGAAGCCUGACCCAAACGCUCCACCUAAGAGAGGUCGCGGCCGCCCACCUAAGCCUAAAGUGCCACUCCCUCCUGGAACCGUAAUAUCACCACCCAGACCACGUGGUCGCCCACCGAAGCCAAGAGACCCAUUUGCUCCAGUAGCUUCACCUAAGAAGAAAAGCCCCACGGGUAGUGGAAGGCCACGUGGACGUCCACCUAAGAAGGCUAAGCCGGCAGGUGCUCCAGCUCCGGUUAC